AGACGAUGGAAAUGCUUAAGGCAGACUAAGGUAGCGUGAGACGGCACGUUUCUGCUAAGCCAAUAUUCUCUAGAAUGAGCACAAAACAAAUCGAAUAACAGCUUUUGUACAUCAACAUCAAGAAGGAAGACACUUGGGAGACAUCGAAGUACAGAGAUGAAUAUGGACGAGAAAGAAACAUCUACUUGUCAAAGCAACUCCUAAAUCUAGAUCAGCAGAGAUGAUAGUGAUUUUCUGGAAAGAGAUGUGAUCGUGGAUUAAACACCAGCUCAUUGGAAACUGUCAUUGAAUAAGAUCAGAUAACAUUCAUGAAAAAUCAUAUUCAGGAAAUAAUUUAAGGAAGAGGUAUACAAAUGUGCUAGAAUUUACAUGUAAAAUAUAUAUGUACUGAGGUUUGUAAACUGUCCUUUUUUAAUCCAACUGAAAACAAAAAGCUUUAAUCUUUCAACACUAUUUUAAAAAAGGCAGUUAGUUCUAAAUUAUUCCUAUCUCAAUAGCCAAGAGGCUGAUCAAGUGUCAUUUAUUGAGGAAGCAUCUUAGAAAAUGCCUCUGAAUGUUAUCACAGGAGCUGUGAUCUUUGGUUCUCCAUCUCUACCAUUCAUUUAUUUCACUGUGUAAUUAGUUUCAACCACUCAGUUAAUAAGACAUGUAACACUUCAAACUUUUUACUGAGUCUGUGUUCAAUUUAAUCUGUCUAUACAAGUUAUUACUGAGAAAGUGUUUCUGACAUAUACUAUUACUCCAUCAAGCUGUAUAUUACAGGAAGUACAUCUUUAGAUUAUAGGUUCCCAAGCAACAUAGAUUUCCCUGUUUCAGGAAACAGCAUCAGGAACUCAGAAAAAUAUAGAAAGCUCAUUUUCACCUUGGAUGUUCACAUGUAAUAUAUAGGCUGCUAUCAAAUAAAUACUUUUUUCUAAUUCUCCCUAGUAUACACAUAGGAAUUUAAUACACUUUAUAAAUAAGUAUCUAAAAUAUCUCCUUUUUUUCUAUUUUUUUGCCAUACAUGUUAUAAAAAUCCAUAUCCUUUAUUUCCCUUAUGGACAGGCACUCAUCAUUGUUUUUUAAAUAAAUUAUUCCAUUAAACCUAUUUCUAAAUGAUAGUAAGUGGCACUAACAAAAUAAUCAUUUAAUAGCCUUAGAAAUAAAUGACUCUAUACUUAAACAGGUCAAAGAAACUCAGUAGGAAUAAGUUAACUUUUUGUUUACUAAUGUUGGUUUCAAAAAUAUUCAGAUUUUUUUUAGUUGGCUGGCAUUUGGAAGUAGUUGGAACUAACCAGUUGUCUUCAACAAUUGUUUUGCUCCCAGGCUUCCACCACCAUCACCCUCACCAGGUAUCCUGCCAAUAUCCAACAACAGAGAAAUAUUUAAUGUUGAAAUAGCCAAUUGCCUGAGAGUGAACACAAGCUAAAAUGUACAUGCAGGAAUAGUCAGUGGAAGCCAAACCAUGUUCUAUACCUGAAAAGAAAACACAGAUGUGUAGAAUGCCUUCAUUCAUAGACUCAAUUAAGAUUGAAUUCACAUAUAUCAUUGGGAUAUCAGACAGACGAUAACAAGAAAAAUGAUACAGAUCAGGGUUGACUUCUCUUACCCUCUCUCUAUUAGGGCCACAUUCCUAUUUUAGCCAAAUGUUUCUGGCACUAGCCAUAUUUUCACUAAAAUGGGAUUAUGUUUCAAAUGACUAAAAGUAUAUUACAGGUGUGCUCAAAUGAGUGAAACCCAAUUCAAAGAAAUGUGGAUUUUCUAAAGAAACAUAUUAAGGGAAUACUUAUUAUCUGUAAUAGAGUAUUAACCAUUCUGGGAGUUAUUUGUUGCUGUAAUUAUUAGCUCUCCUACUGCAUUCAAAACACCCUACUUACUAAAUUUAAUUACACACAACUUUUCAAGAAUUCAUCUCUCAUUCAAAGGGAGGUAACUCUACUUUAUCUACAAUAAAAACAGAAGGUAUUGGCUUUCUCUAAUCCAUGUAAAUUACAGAUUCCAUCAGGAGUCCUACAUCACUAAUAGUGGUGUUAACAAAAAAGAAAAAGUACUUCCUACUCACACACAAAUGUUUUUUAAAAGUUUUGCCAUAAAACCUAAGUGUAAUUUAGAUACCACAGUGCUCUGAAGAUGGGUCUUUGAUAAUGUACCAUUUGUACAUAAGUAAUACACAUGUAAAUCACUAAAUGUUAAGUAUACGAAGUAUGUUUUUAUCUUUCUUUUUUUUAAAGUGACUCCCUUUCUCAUCCUGUUCUGUUGUAUUGCGUCCAAAAGUUGUGUGUAAUUUUUUUAAGGUCCAGGAAAUGUAAAGAAAUUUGUUGGAAUAUCUGAAUUUCUGUAAAAAAUAAAAAUAAGAUUUUGUUACUUAAAA